CUGAACGCCUCUAAGUCRGAAA
rnacentral:misc_RNA from 2 species